UACGAAGGGGGCUAGCGUUGCUCGGAAUUACUGGGCGUAAAGGGCUCGUAGGCGGCCAACUAAGUCAGACGUGAAAUCCCCAGGCUCAACCUGGGAACUGCGUCUGAUACUGGAUGGCUUGAAUCCGGGAGAGGGAUGCAGAAUUCCAGGUGUAGCGGUGAAAUGCGUAGAUAUCUGGAGGAACACCGGUGGCGAAGGCGGCAUCCUGGACCGACACUGACGCUGAGGAGCGAAAGCCAGGGGAGCAAACGGG
rnacentral:rRNA from 1 species